UCCUGGCUCAGGAUGAACGCUGGCGGCGUGCCUAAUACAUGCAAGUCGAGCGAACAGAUAAGGAGCUUGCUCCUUUGACGUUAGCGGCGGACGGGUGAGUAACACGUGGAUAACCUACCUAUAAGACUGGGAUAACUUCGGGAAACCGGAGCUAAUACCGGAUAACAUAUUGAACCGCAUGGUUCAAUAGUGAAAGGCGGCUUUGCUGUCACUUAUAGAUGGAUCCGCGCCGUAUUAGCUAGUUGGUAAGGUAACGGCUUACCAAGGCAACGAUACGUAGCCGACCUGAGAGGGUGAUCGGCCACACUGGAACUGAGACACGGUCCAGACUCCUACGGGAGGCAGCAGUAGGGAAUCUUCCGCAAUGGGCGAAAGCCUGACGGAGCAACGCCGCGUGAGUGAUGAAGGUCUUCGGAUCGUAAAACUCUGUUAUCAGGGAAGAACAAAUGUGUAAGUAACUGUGCACAUCUUGACGGUACCUGAUCAGAAAGCCACGGCUAACUACGUGCCAGCAGCCGCGGUAAUACGUAGGUGGCAAGCGUUAUCCGGAAUUAUUGGGCGUAAAGCGCGCGUAGGCGGUUUUUUAAGUCUGAUGUGAAAGCCCACGGCUCAACCGUGGAGGGUCAUUGGAAACUGGAAAACUUGAGUGCAGAAGAGGAAAGUGGAAUUCCAUGUGUAGCGGUGAAAUGCGCAGAGAUAUGGAGGAACACCAGUGGCGAAGGCGACUUUCUGGUCUGUAACUGACGCUGAUGUGCGAAAGCGUGGGGAUCAAACAGGAUUAGAUACCCUGGUAGUCCACGCCGUAAACGAUGAGUGCUAAGUGUUAGGGGGUUUCCGCCCCUUAGUGCUGCAGCUAACGCAUUAAGCACUCCGCCUGGGGAGUACGACCGCAAGGUUGAAACUCAAAGGAAUUGACGGGGACCCGCACAAGCGGUGGAGCAUGUGGUUUAAUUCGAAGCAACGCGAAGAACCUUACCAAAUCUUGACAUCCUUUGACCGCUCUAGAGAUAGAGUCUUCCCCUUCGGGGGACAAAGUGACAGGUGGUGCAUGGUGUCGU
rnacentral:rRNA from 1 species